UACGGAGGGAGCUAGCGUUGUUCGGAUAUACUGGGCGUAAAGCGCACGUAGGCGGCGCCGUAAGUCAGGGGUGAAAUCCCGGAGCUCAACUCCGGAACUGCCUUUGAAACUGCGGUGCUAGAAUCCUGGAGAGGCGAGUGGAAUUCCGAGUGUAGAGGUGAAAUUCGUAGAUAUCGGGAGGAACACCUGAGGCGAAGGCGGGCUACUGGGCCGAUACUGACGCUGAUGCGCGAAAGCCAGGGGAGCGAACGGG
rnacentral:rRNA from 1 species